rnacentral:rRNA from 1 species
UGCGAACUCCUACGGGAGGCAGCAGUGGGGAAUAUUGGACAAUGGGGGAAACCCUGAUCCAGCAAUGCCGCGUGUGUGAAGAAGGCCUUCGGGUUGUAAAGCACUUUCAGCAGGGAGGAAAGCAUCAUGGUUAAUACCCAUGGUAGUGACGUUACCUGCAGAAGAAGCACCGGCUAACUCCGUGCCAGCAGCCGCGGUAAUACGGAGGGUGCAAGCGUUAUUCGGAAUUACUGGGCGUAAAGCGCACGCAGGCGGCUACCUAAGUCAGAUGUGAAAGCCCCGGGCUUAACCUGGGAACUGCAUUUGAAACUGGGUGGCUAGAGUAUGAAAGAGGAAAGCGGAAUUUCCAGUGUAGCAGUGAAAUGCGUAGAUAUUGGAAGGAACACCGAUGGCGAAGGCAGCUUUCUGGGUCGAUACUGACGCUCAUGUGCGAAAGCGUGGGGAGCAAACAGGAUUAGAUACCCUUGUAGUCCU